GGAGCGCGUGAGGCUCCGGCGCCCAAGCCCGGCGCAGCCAGCUGGGGCGCACAGGGGCGCGCGAGCGCGGGGAUGGAGGACGGCGUGGCCGGGCCCCGGCUCGGGGCGGCGGCGGAGGCGGCGGAGGCGGCCGAGGCGCGAGAGCGGCCCGGGGUGACGCUGCGGCCCUUCGCGCCCCUCUCGGGGGCGGCCGAGGCGGACGAGGGCGGCGGCGACUGGAGCUUCAUUGACUGCGAAAUGGAGGAGGUGGACCUGCAGGACCUGCCCAGCGCCACCAUCGCCUGCCACCUGGACCCGCGCGUGUUCGUGGACGGCCUGUGCCGGUUAAAGAAGUGCUUUGGUGGCCACCUACGUAAUUGGAUUCAACGUGGAGCUCUACUUGAAGUUGCAGUCAUCUGAAUUCAUUCUUGAACAUAUAAGCCACAGAACAAACAGGGCUCUUCUUACAGAAAGAAUCCUGCGCUGUGAAUCAGUCACAGAUUGUAUUAAACUUCCCAACACUACUUAAUUUUCAGGCCAAAUUUGAGUCCCUCUUUAGGACGUAUGACAAGGACAUCACCUUUCAGUAUUUUAAGAGCUUCAAACGAGUCAGAAUAAACUUCAGCAACCCCUUCUCCGCAGCAGAUGCCAGGCUCCAGCUGCAUAAGACUGAGUUUCUGGGAAAGGAAAUGAAGUUAUAU
rnacentral:sRNA from 1 species